rnacentral:rRNA from 1 species
GACGAACGCUGGCGGCGUGCUUAACACAUGCAAGUCGAACGGAAAGGCCUGCUUUCCCUUGUGGAUUGCGGGUACUCGAGUGGCGAACGGGUGAGUAACACGUGAGUGAUCUGCCCCCAACUUGGGUAUAAGCCUGGGAAACUGGGUCUAAUUCCCGAUAGGACUGCAGGGUGGUGCCUGUGGUGGAAAACGAUUUUCUAGUGGUUGGGGAUGAGCUCGCGGCCUAUCAGCUUGUUGGUGGGGUAAUGGCCUACCAAGGCGGCGACGGGUAGCCGGCCUUAGAGGGUGGACGGCCACAUUGGGACUGAGAUACGGCCCAGACUCCUACGUGAGGCAGCAGUGGGGAAUAUUGCACAAUGGGCGGAAGCCUGAUGCAGCGACGCCGCGUGGGGGAUGACGGCCUUCGGGUUGUAAACUCCUUUCGACCGCGAGGAAGCCACCUGGUUGGAAGGGUGGUGACGGUAGUGGUAGAAGAAGCACCGGCUAACUACGUG